CAAUAGCGUGUAUUAAAGUUGUUGCAGUUAAAAAGCUCGUAGUUGGAUUUCUGGUAGGAGCGACCGGUCCGCCCUGUUAAGGGUGUGUACUAGCGUUGUCUCUGGCCAUCCUUGGGGGAACUGCGCGGGGAGACUUGCGUUAGGGAACCCAUCGUUUACUGUGAAAAAAUUAGAGUGUUUAAAGCAGGCUUAUGCCGUUGAAUAUAUUAGCAUGGAAUAAUAAGAUAGGACUUUGAGUCUAUUUUGUUGGUUUGCGAGUCAAAGUAAUGAUUAAUAGGGACAGUGGGGGUAUUCGUAUUUCAUUGUCAGAGGUGAAAUUCUUGGAUUUCUGAAAGACGAACUACUGCGAAAGCAUUUACCAAGGAUGUUUUCAUUAAUCAAGAACGAAAGUUAGGGGAUCGAAGACGAUCAGAUACCA
rnacentral:rRNA from 1 species